rnacentral:rRNA from 1 species
GACAGAGGGUGCAAACGUUGUUCGGAAUUACUGGGCGUAAAGCGUGCGCAGGCGGUUCUCCAAGUCCGUUGUGAAAGCCCCGGGCUCAACCUGGGAAUGGCAGUGGAAACUAGGGGACUGGAAUCUGGCAGAGGGGGGUGGAAUGCCGCGUGUAGCAGUGAAAUGCGUAGAGAUGCGGCGGAACACCGAUGGCGAAGGCAGCCCCCUGGGCUGAGAUUGACGCUCAGGCACGAAAGCGUGGGGAGCAAACAGG